CAGCGGCUGCUGCCUUUGCUGCACGUAUGAACUGAUCAUGAGCGCUGUUGAGCUGGAAGGUCUGGCAUAUUUGUCUUUCUUUGAUGAUGGCUCCUGGUUUCAGGGAACACUUCUGACAAAGGAUAAAAAGCAAUAUGGAGUCAUGGGAGAAACAUGUGGUCCACCAGAGGAAGGUUUUGCUGAAUGUUGUUUUGAUGAUGAGCCAUUAUUUUAUGUGAUCACCAUUAUUGAUCAUGAAGUAAAUAAAGA